rnacentral:rRNA from 1 species
UACGAAGGGGGCUAGCGUUGCUCGGAAUCACUGGGCGUAAAGGGUGCGUAGGCGGGUCUUUAAGUCAGAGGUGAAAUCCUGGAGCUCAACUCCAGAACUGCCUUUGAUACUGAGGGUCUUGAGUAUGACAGAGGUGAGUGGAACUGCGAGUGUAGAGGUGAAAUUCGUAGAUAUCGAGAGGAACACCAGUGGCGAAGGCGAGUCCCUGGACAGGUCCUGACGCUGAGGCACGAAAGCUAGGGGAGCAAACAGG